rnacentral:rRNA from 1 species
UACGGAGGGCGCGGGCGUUGUCCGGAAUCACUGGGCGUAAAGGGCGCGUAGGCGGCCCUGGUAAGUCUGCGGUGAAAGCCCGGGGCUCAACCCCGGGUCGGCCGCGGGUACUGCCGGGCUGGAGUGCCGUAGGGGCAGGCGGAAUUCCGGGUGUAGCGGUGGAAUGCGUAGAGAUCCGGAAGAACACCGGUGGCGAAGGCGGCCUGCUGGGCGGCGACUGACGCUGAGGCGCGAAAGCGUGGGGAGCAAACAGG